GCAUCGAUGAAGAACGCAGCGAAAUGCGAUAAGUAAUGUGAAUUGCAGAAUUCAGUGAAUCAUCGAAUCUUUGAACGCACAUUGCGCCCUUUGGCAUUCCGAAGGGCAUGCCUGUUCGAGCGUCAUUACACCAAUCAAGCCUCGCUUGGUAUUGGGCGACGGGGUCGACUUUCGACGCCCGCGCCUUAAUAACUUUCCGGCGGGACGGACCGUAUCUCAGCGUUGUGGUAAGAAGCCGCUGGCGAGACGGGACGGCCGUGCCGUAACCCCCCCCCAUUUUCUUAAGGUUGACCUCGGAUCAGGUAGGGAUACCCGCUGAACUUAAGCAUAUCAAUAAGCGGAGGA
rnacentral:rRNA from 1 species